rnacentral:tRNA from 1 species
UAUGAUCUGGCUGAAGUGUAAGCAGAAGGUUUUUAAUCUUCUCAUAGAGAAA